AGAGUUUGAUCCUGGCUCAGGAUGAACGCUAGCGGCAGGCUUAACACAUGCAAGUCGAGGGGCAGCGGGGAGGAAGCUUGCUUUCUCCGCCGGCGACCGGCGCACGGGUGAGUAACACGUAUGCAACCUGCCCCUGUCAGGGGGACAACCCGCCGAAAGGCGGGCUAAACCCGCGUACAUGCCACCGGGGCAUCCCGGAGGCAGGAAAGGCUUCGGCCGGACAGGGAUGGGCAUGCGGCGCAUUAGGCAGUAGGCGGGGUAACGGCCCACCUAACCGACGAUGCGUAGGGGUUCUGAGAGGAAGGUCCCCCACACUGGUACUGAGACACGGACCAGACUCCUACGGGAGGCAGCAGUGAGGAAUAUUGGUCAAUGGUCGGGAGACUGAACCAGCCAAGCCGCGUGAGGGAGGAAGGUACAGAGUAUCGUAAACCUCUUUUGUCAGGGAACAAAGGCGGGGACGUGUCCCCGGAUGAGUGUACCUGAAGAAAAAGCAUCGGCUAACUCCGUGCCAGCAGCCGCGGUAAUACGGAGGAUGCGAGCGUUAUCCGGAUUUAUUGGGUUUAAAGGGUGCGCAGGCGGUCUGUUAAGUCAGCGGUCAAAGCCCGGGGCUCAACCCCGGCCCGCCGUUGAAACUGGCAGUCUCGAGUUGGAGAGAAGUAUGCGGAAUGCGCGGUGUAGCGGUGAAAUGCAUAGAUAUCGCGCAGAACUCCGAUUGCGAAGGCAGCAUGCCGGCUCCACACUGACGCUGAGGCACGAAAGCGUGGGUAUCGAACAGGAUUAGAUACCCUGGUAGUCCACGCAGUAAACGAUGAAUGCUGGCUGUCCGGGGGGACUGACCCCUGGGUGGCGAAGCGAAAGCGAUAAGCAUUCCACCUGGGGAGUACGCCGGCAACGGUGAAACUCAAAGGAAUUGACGGGGGCCUGCACAAGCGGAGGAACAUGUGGUUUAAUUCGAUGAUACGCGAGGAACCUUACCCGGGCUCAAACGGGGAGUGGCGCAGGCAGAGACGCCUGUUUCCCACGGGACACUCCCCGAGGUGCUGCAUGGUUGUCGUCAGCUCGUGCCGUGAGGUGUCGGCUUAAGUGCCAUAACGAGCGCAACCCCCGCGUGCAGUUGCUAACAGAUAACGCUGAGGACUCUGCACGGACUGCCGGCGCAAGCCGCGAGGAAGGCGGGGAUGACGUCAAAUCAGCACGGCCCUUACGUCCAGGGCGACACACGUGUUACAAUGGGUGGUACAGCGGGAAGCCAGGCGGCGACGCCGAGCGGAACCCGAAAUCCACUCUCAGUUCGGAUCGGAGUCUGCAACCCGACUCCGUGAAGCUGGAUUCGCUAGUAAUCGCGCAUCAGCCAUGGCGCGGUGAAUACGUUCCCGGGCCUUGCACUCACCGCCCGUCA
rnacentral:rRNA from 1 species